AAUAAGAUACCCCGGUAGUCCACGCCGUAAACGAUGGAUACUUGCUGUUAGAGGUAUUGACCCCUUUAGUGGCGAAGCUAACGCGUUAAGUAUCCCGCCUGGGGAGUACGGUCGCAAGAUUAAAACUCAAAGAAAUUGACGGGGGCCCGCACAAGCGGUGGAGCAUGUGGUUUAAUUCGAUGCAACGCGCAAAACCUUACCUAGGCUUGACAUGUACUGGAAGACUGGCAGAAAUGUCGUCGCCCGCAAGGGUCGGUACACAGGUGCUGCAUGGCUAUCGUCAGCUCGUGUCGUGAGAUGUUGGGUUAAGUCCCGCAACGAGCGCAACCCCUGCCUUUAGUUGCCAGCAUUUAGUUGGGCACUCUAGAGGGACUGCCUGCGUUAAGCAGGAGGAAGGUGGGGAUGACGUCAAGUCCUCAUGGCCCUUAUGUCUAGGGCUACACACGUGCUACAAUGGAAGUCACAACGAGAUGCCAAGUCGCGAGACGGAGCAAAUCUCCUAAAAGCUUUCUAAGUUCAGAUUGUAGU
rnacentral:rRNA from 1 species